rnacentral:tRNA from 1 species
GCUUAAAUAGCUUAUAGUAAGAGCGUAACAUUGAAGCUGUUAAAGAGGUUAAUUUAAACCUUUAAGCA